ACUGGUGUGGCUCAGUGGAUAGAGUGUCGGCCUGAGGACCGAAAGGUCCCGGGUUCGAUUCCGGGCAAGAGCA
rnacentral:tRNA from 1 species